UUCAAUGGCCCAUGCUACUGUGUCGGACUGUACGAUUUUAUACUAUAUGCUCAUAGAAGUAUGGUCUAAUGACGAAGUAAAUCUCCUGCUCGAUACUAUAAGUGCUCUGAUCGCUAUGCGAUAUGUAUGUUUCAUGGAGGCCGACAAUGGGAAAGAUGGGUACUUACCAGGAGGCAGGGGAAAUAUGAUUGUUAGAGACGUAGUGCAAAAGUAUAUAUGUGUACUGUUAAACUGAAGGAUAAACAUACGAUUGGAUGACAAAAAUAAAUGAUAAAGCUGUUGAUUAGAGGAUCAUGGAUUCGAUACAAGAAGAAAUUAGAGAAAAGAUGCCACCACUGAAGAAAAAGCUGGAUUGCUGACCAAUGGCGUUCCAACUAAAGCUAAUCUACAAAUUAUUAUUAUUCCCAUCUAACUAUUUUGGGGGGUGACAGAUUUGUUCCAAUUUUUUAUUUGUAUCAGUAGCAUCAGCAAUGUGGUGUUACCAUGUGUCACUUAGGCCCUGUUUGGCACUAGCGUUUGAGGUAGCGGUUAGCGGUUGGAUAAGAUUGAAACGCUACUUAAGAAAAUUAUGAGUAUUUGGUAAGGUAGUGGUUGUAAUAGCGAGUAGCAGUUGGAGUAGAUUAUGAGUAGCGGUUGUGGAACGUUACUACAAGUAACGUUUGAGAUUUAGAGGUAGCGGUCUAGCAAAUAAACUCUAUAUAUUAGCAUAAGGUAGAAUUAUUAACUAAUUUUUUUU